AUUCUUUGGAGUUCCCUGUGAACACUAGGAUCACCAGCCUCCCCCAUUUCACCUCAUUCAGUUCCUUUCUUAUGAAAUGGAUUCCACCACUGUGUUCUUCGGAAACACCCCGUCUUCAACCCCAUGAGAGGUUCACGAAGAUCAAGUUCUCCAAGGCCUGCCCAUGGUCAGCCAUGUGUCCCAUCCCACAUUCUCACACGACUCCUGUGUGAUUUUGUUCAUCACAGUAGUAUGUCUCAGAUGUUUGUCUUCCUUGCCUGACUUUGUCAAGCAGCAAUUUGAUGUUGCUGGCUUUACAUCUGGGCUUGAGCGCACUUGCUUCUCCUGACGCACUUGGGACAUUAAAUUGCUUACAUCUUCAGGCAACAUCCUGACCUGAUGUGGCCCUGCCUCCUUGGUCUAUUGGCGUUUGCUGGAGUGCUCCACCCACCCGUCUUGUGACCUAUUCUGUUUUCUUGCAGGAUCUCAUUUGAACUCCAUGUUCCCCAGAGAUAUCCUUCUCUUCCUUAUUUCUGGUUAUCUAUUCACCGAAUUUCACAGUUAAUCACAACCCCACACUGAAGAGCCCAGGUUCCUGGAAUGGGUUGCCCUUGGCUGGAGGUGGGAAUUACAACUGGACUGCUGAGAUCUAGGGAAGAACCAGCACUUCCGGAUCAGAAACCCUCCUAACGGACUCAAUUCUGGACGCCAGGAUAAAAACCAGCAAAACCUCUUCCAAGCCAUAGUUAAAUUUAACAUUGUUGCUGAGUAGUUUCUGUUGGCCAGAGGUUGUCCAGGUGAUAUGAAUAUAGAGAUGAAUAAUUUAUUUCUUUUCUGCUCUGGUUCAGAAAGGAUCUGAAGCAGAUUGUGGCUGAAGUAUAUAAAAUAAAAAUCCAAAUGCAAGUGUGUAAAACUCA